GGCUUUCUCUCGCUCGCUUCCCCCGCAUCCUCGUCGACGCCCCCCAUGGCCACGGCCGUCUCCCUCCCGCUCCCUCGCCGCGCAUCCUCCUCCGCUCCCGUGGCCGCCGCCCGCCGCCCCGGGUCCCCGUCGCUGCGCAGGCGGCGGCAUUGCGCCGUCGUCACGCCCGUCGCCGCAGCAUGCAGACCUGACGCAGACGAGGAAGGCUCCGGGCCUGGGCGGCGGCAGGUGCUCGUGGCGGGUGCCGCCGCGGCCGCCGCGUUUGUUACCCGGCCCAAUCCGGCGGCAUGUGAGUUGCCCUUCCAAUUUACGAUCGCCUUCAAAUGCUCGCCUUCUGCAGUACCCACUCCACUUACUUAAUUUGCUGGUCACAUUUCACUUGGAAUAUGGUUUAUUUGGUCAAAACUGAGUGCCAUUCUGAUCUGCUAUAGUCGCAGCAGAGUCUAAGAAAGGGUUCCUGCCUGUCGUGGACAAGAAGGCUGGUUACUCCUUCCUAGCGUCAAACACCAGCCGCACUCUCCUGAGUCCUAAUCCUAUCAGAACAGGACAUGCGAGACAGCACAUCUUAUCCCGUUGGGAAUGGGAUCAAUCUGCAGCGCGGUCCGUCCAAACGGAACGUUCAGGUGCUGCAGCGCAGGGUCUAGAACUCUAGAUGCUUCAUUUAUUCGGAUCAGUUUAUGGUAUUUGUGCUUGGACUGACGUGCCGAUGCGAUCCGGUCGAAUCGGAACGCGUCCAUUUUCAUGAUGAGAAGCUUUUACGACGAUAAUCGCAAGUGCAAAACGCGUGUCAGACGAAGGCGCAAGCUGGCCAGUUCCCCUUCCCCAUAUAUAUACUGCACUUUUUCUUUCUCUUUUUUGACAGAGAGAUCAAAUCCUAGCCGUUGACUAACAUAAUGGUCUUAUUUUUCUAACAGAUUUACUUCUUUUAAGGUGACUUAUUUUUUGUAUUUGUGUAAGUCGAUUGCGAGCAUUCGAUCUAUGGCCAACCGGGCCUGCUUUCUCUAUCUUGCGUUGUACGCCGAGUGGGUUGGUGGUAAGUAGUUACCUGUUUGUUUGUUGUCCAUUCAACCAGUGUAUCGAUCCACUCUCUCGUCCUCCCGUUCUUAUCCAUUCCUGUUCGCCUCCAUGCGCCCACGCCGCUGAGCCUCGCCGAGCCGAGAACCCACCCGCCGCCCCUGUGCUUGUGUUGCCCCCGUGCUCCUCACGGCUGCCUCCGCCUGUUCUGUCCCCGCCCCGGCCGGCGGGAACUCGGGCCUCCUCGCCGCGGCCGGAGAGAAAUGGCGACGGCUGCAAAGCCGCCCGCGCCGGCGGCGGCAGCGACAGGAGCACGGCGGAGUACUCCGGUUGGUGUACCACCUCGGUGUCAACUCCAUCGGCCAUGAGUACCUUCCUCAUCAACUUCUUCCUCUCCCCUGUUCUCUUGUUCCUUUCUCGUGAGGAGCAGUUAGACUGAUGAUUUGGGAUUUGUUAGGGGUCGAAUCGAGAUUGUAGUUGUUCGAUGUUGAAUUGAGAUGUAUGUGGCUUGGAUUUGAGGAUUAUCUAUUGAUUAGGGUUCCAGGUUCAGGGUCUUUGUAGUUAUUGAACUGAGAUUGUCGAGUGGGGAGUGGGGUGUGAAUCGAAGACCUAGGCUGUUGUGUCAUCGACCUCGAUGACAAUUAAUCUCGAGCAGUCAGGUUUCAGAUGUUGGGAUUCAGAUGUUGGGAAUUCUCUUCCCCUGUGUCUGUCCAUUAUCCCCCAUGUUAUUUAAUGAGUAUAAGUCCUGUUGUUCUAUCAGUUCCCCACUUGUUUUUGGAAAUUUGAUCUUUGUUUUUGGACGCUUACUUCAGAGUUGUUUUUUUACAGUUAAUUCACACCAUCAUGUGUUGUUUGUCUUAUUUUCCAUGCCUUUAAAAUGGCAUCACCGUGAUCAUAAACCUAUUUCCAUGUGCAUUUAAAUACUAUUUUACUUAUGUUCAGGAUGUGUAUGGAUCUGUUUGCAAGAUGUGUACACCUCUCAUUGCGGUUUUGGUUAGGCUUACAUGUGGUUUUGAAUCCUGAACACCAGUAAACCCUAAACCAGUGCUCGUGAUGCACUAACUGAUCUUAAAUGUUGUAUUUUAUAUUUUGGCCACCUGAUCAUCUGUGCUUGUAAUGAACCAACAUUGACCUCAAAUAUCUGCAGUCUGAAAGAUGUUGUCAAGGUUGUAGUUUUAUUUGCCUUUUGUUUUCAUCAGACUAGAAGUUGUCAAGGUCAGAGUUUUAUCCGCAGUUUGGCUUAGAGGAAGUACCAGGUGAAGUAUGUUUGCCAUCUAUUUAUCUCCUACCCCUACUUGCAUUGGCUUGAAAUAUCUGAAGUGUUGUAUUUAAUCUGUCUAGUCGAAUUUGAUAUUUUGCCAAGCUGCAAGCUGUGUGUAAGCGGCCUACUCUUAUUCAACUGUUAUCUGUGAGAAAUGUUGUCAAAUAGACCAUGAAAUUUGAUGUUUUCUUUUGUUCAGCUGUCAAGCUUCUUAAAAAUACACUUGGUGUCUCUUGUUUUCUGACUGUAUCUCACGAUUUAUUAAUUUGAGUAAAAGAGAUUUUUUUUUGCAAAACUUCUUGCAUAGCUAUUACUAUCGCUAUUUUGCCAGCGGAGAGUGUUCCUUUCUGUAGCUAGAUUUUUCUUGUAUAUGCUAAUUAGCAGACUAUAUCUCUUAGAUUGGCUCCCUCUGGAUGACUUCAAGGUCUGUCACUUAUCUGUACUAAACAAUUCAUUUUUAUUUAGACAUUUGUUUCAUCCACCAGGCUAUAAGCUAACAUGUAUUUGAUUGUUGGUCUAGUAGUUUAUAAGUUGAGGAACUACCAGGUCCAGUUUUUUUUAUUUGGCAUCUAUGCUUGUGAUGCUCCAUCUUUUACUUGGAUUAUCUACACUCUGAUCUGAAAUGUUUCAUUUAAUCUGGUCAAUUGCAAUCUAUAUAUUUUUGCCAUCCUUUUGCUUUCCGACUCUGAGUGGGGAUUCGUUAAAUAUUGACAAAUACAACAAUAUUUACCUAGACUUGAAUUGUUGUGAUAUAUAUAGAUUGCUUGCAACCUCGCUAAUUCCUUCUCAAAUUAUCAUCACAUCCAGUGGAUCCUUUACUCUAUUUUGCAAUAUAUAGUUUGUACAUACAAUUAACACUAUAGUUUGCCCUGUCUGAUUUCCUGAGUCAUGUAGCACUACUGCAAUUAGAAGUAGUGCAUUUUGGUCCAUGUGAACUCUUUCAAAUACGCUACUCUAUGACUGAAUGUUUUUGCUUUCCUGCCUGUCCUAUCCCUUUUAUUGGUUACUCAUUCCAGGUUGAAAACAUCAUUCAUUGAAAUUUUGAAUUACAAAUAGCUUAUACUAGAAUUACAACCUGACUCAUUAUUGUAAUUUUCUUGGUUGUUACUGUAAAAUGUUAGAGCAGCUUGUAUUUUGGUUACUGUAAUUUUCUCACAUCAGUUCUUCAUAUAGCUGUAUUUGGGAUAGGUUGUGGAAACAUGAUUGUUGAUAUAUCCAAAUCACAUUGUGGGAGAAUAUUUGAAGUAGGGCCAAUUACAUUGCUAAAUGUUCUUUCAUAUUAGCUUAUUCAAAUUGACUUUUUGCAACACCAGUUUCCUAUUUAGCAAUCUGACCAUUCUCUGUGUUCCAUAACCUACCAGAUUGGUUCCUCUUCCUAUGUCCAUUAUAUUUUUAUGACAGUAACCCAUGUCUCGUGUUAAGUAUAUAGUGUUGAGUCUUUGUGUAUCUUUCUAUUUUAAUUAAGUUAGCAGUCGAUGAGCUAUUUAGCUGAACAUGUCAGUGUUGUUAGCAGCUCCUAGUCUUUAGGGAGUGGAGUCAGGAGAGCCACUUGUUCUCCUCAAGAUGUAUCCUUAAUUUUUUAGAGGCCAUCAUGGCCAUUAGCAUCUUCCACUAAGGCCUUCUUUUACCGUUCUAUAUGUAAGAGAACAAGAUAAUACCAAAGUUGUGGUUGCAACAAGAAUACUAGUGUGUCUUACUCUUUUCGUUUGGUGAGUUGAGAGCUUAAGAUUUAUUGUGGACUCAAUCUGCAAAUACACCCUCCUUAGUGUUGUAAUUUUGUAGUUUAUUACUAUCAAACAUAAUAGUGAGCAAUACUUCACUAGGAUUUUAGAUGCCAAAUAUACCCAAGUAUUUUAGUUUCUCCCGGACCUGUUACUUUCUAGGAUUGCAGGAAUGAUUUUAGAUGCCAAAUAUACCCAAGUAUUUUAGUUUCUCCCUGACCUGUUACUUUCUAGGAUUGCAGGAAUGGAGUUGAUGAGUUGAGAACUCAGUAUUUGCAGGCUACACAGCCAUGUUUUGACAAGUGCAUUGAGAAGAGGUACACCUGAUUUUAUACAGACAAGUGCACUGAGAAGAGGUACACCAGAUUAAAUAUGAAUUGUAUGUCUUUGAUCUUGUUUAAAUUAAGAAUUUCAUGUUCCUAUUUUUUGUCAUAAUAGUUUCACUGAGCCCUAAUUUGAUCAAAGUUGACUUUGAUUUUCAAGUAAAGGUUUUGUUUGUCAGUGUCAUAGGGAAAAUUUGUAUUGCUCUAUGUAGCUCCUUUACAUGUAUUCCUAUAUGUGGUUGUUGUUUGGUCAUUUUUUGGUUAAUUAGCACACCUGAUCAAUGGCUA